AAACUUWCCUGUCAGAGAAGACACCAUGAUGAAAAGUGGUUUUCCAAGGGCGAGGCUUAUCCCUUGCACUCCAGGUGUACGCACCCCUAAUAAAUUUUAAACAGGGACAAGUAACCUGAAAGGA
ensembl:snRNA U1 U1 spliceosomal RNA